rnacentral:lncRNA from 1 species
GGUCAUUAUUCCAAGUGCAGACUGUUUCCACCAUAUGGUUGGCCAGGUGUGUGUAUUAGGGAGAGAUAAAAUAAUAAAAUGAAGGUGGCUGUUGGACUCCUUAGCAUCCAGGGGCCUCAUCCGCAUUGGUAAAUGUUCAUCUAGUUCGAAUUAGGACCUACAUGGCUACGUUCUGGUGGAAGAGCUCUCAGUUGCAUUGAGCUCCCUGGCAGAAAGAAAUGGCCUGGAGGCUGCUUCCUCUCAGGUGAGAAAGGGUCUUCCAGGACUGUUAGAACAAAAGGCAUCAGGGAAGUACCUCUUAAGCCUGUCCUGUGAAAGUCAAUCCAGCUUCUUGGCUUUCCAGGCAGCCUCACAUUGCCUUGACUAUUACCCCAGUUCAUUAAAUGUUAAUGGGUUAUCAAUAUAGGAAGAGUAAUCCCCUGAAGUCCCUUUAAUAUGUUUUAUUCUUCCUCUCAAAUAAAUGAUUGAUUAACAUCAAUAGGAAUUGUUCAAUAUAUGCUGUCUGCAAGACUCCUUGCUCCUUGAGGCUUUCUCCUGUGGUUUAUAGGCCAGCGCAGACGCCUCGACGAGAUCUUAAAUAGAGAGAGUGGUAAAAGUUUAUGUCAGCUAGUCAGUGAAAUGGAGGUGGGGAAGGAUCUAAUGAGUGCACUGGCUUGAGGAUGAUGGCAUUUUCAUAAAUCACACUGUUCUUUUCCCUCGUGGUCUGUCCUGCUUGUAGAAUCAUAGUAUCUUAGAGAUGGAAAGAGCCUUGAGGUUAUUUUUUCCAGCUUCCCAUUCUUCAAGAAAUUCUUUCCAUAUCCUUCCUGACAGACAGUCAGAUAGCACCUGCCUGUACCUCCAGGGAGGGGCCUUACCUUCCUCCUGAGGCCCCCUUCAGCUCCUCUGCAGUUCUGCAAGUGGAAGAUUUUCCCCGUUCCAUCAGUUCUCGUAGUUCCUGUUCCUUUUCCUCAUGACUCAGGUUAAAGUUGUAAUCUUCCAUUUAUUUGAUUGACUCUCCUAAAAGACUGGGGCCCUUUCCGUUUUAGCUGACCAUUCCACAUGGUGCCUGGCCCAUUGAAGGGACUCAGUGUAUAUUUGUUGAAUGAAUGAAUGAAUGAAUGAAUGAAUGAAUGAAUGAAUGCACUCAAGUUUAGAAAUUCCAAAAAGAACUAGGAAGAGAUUACAUAGCAUGAAAAUGAAAAUAGAGUAUUUUUUUCCCCAGAUACCAGCUUAUCCGCUCCAGAUGACUUUAGGGUAAAUAUGGAGGAAGGAGUGAGGGGAAGCACCCAGGAAAAAGUGAUGGGUUAGGACGGAGCAACAUUCAGAGCAUGGGAAAAACAAAAGGAUCUUGACUUUUAAUGUAGCCUGGUAAAUAUCAUUGAGAUUUGGCAGGACCAAAACUGAGCAUUGGAAAAGGGAUGAUGGAAAAGUCUUCUCUGUGAGGAAAGGGGCCUGCUUGUGGAGAAGAUGAACACCUGCAUGGAGGUUCACAGAAGUGAGAAGGCUGGCCUGGAGGAGAGUACUAGAGUGAGAAGAUGAGCACCUCCAGCCUUGGGUCAGUCACAAAGGAAGGACAGAGGCAGGAAAUAGGAGCAUCUGGACAGGGGACCCUAGCCACCACUCACAGCAGCUCAUCUUCUGGCGGGAGAGGGUUAGCUCCUGCCCAGUGUCCUCACGUACGAGAGUGGUGAGUUUCUAAUGCAUCACCUCUCACCACUCACCCCAAGACAGCUGUUCUUUUGAAUCCUACCUAGAGAAAAAAAAAUCACGACCCACACAAUUCUUGCUCUCUCUCAACCUCCCACAUCUAAUGAGUCACCCAGUUUUGUCACUUCAUCCUUGGGAUGUCUCUUGACAUGCCUUUUCUUCCUUUCCACUAACGUAGCUCAGACACCAGAUUCUCUCUGGGACCAUCACUUGCCAUACACAGCUGAGUCACAUAAAGAGGUUGCCCUUACACACCAGAUCUCUGCUCACUGUUGCCUAAGACACUGCACACUCUGCUUAUAUCCGUUUCUUCUUCCUAAAGAGUCCUUUAGUUCAUCACCUGCUGCUUGCUGGCUGGGUUCUACAUCAUCUUCAAGAUCCUGCUUCUGAGGCCGGGUGCAGUGGCUCACACCUGUAAUCCCAACACUUUGGGAGGCCGAGGCGGGCAGAUCACUUGAGGCCGGGAGUUGGAGACCAGCCUGGCCAACGUGGUGAAACUCAGUCUCUACUAAAAGUACAUGAAUUAGCCGGGCAUGGGGCACAUGCCUGUAAUCCCAGUUACUCUGGAGGCUGAGACACGAGAUUCACUUGCCUAGGAGGCAGAGGUUGCAGGGAGCCGAGAUUGUGCCACUGCACUCCAGCCUGGGUGACAGAGCGAAACUCUGUCUCAAAAAAAAAAAAAAAUAAAAAAUAAAAAA